GCUAACAGUGUGAUUUCAGUUUGAUUUGUAGUUUUCUUUCUUGUGAUAGGGCUGAAAAUGGAGCCUUCAGUGUCUUCCCAGGUGGGACCCUAAGCUGAGCUGAGCCCUGAAACUGAGCUGGAAGACAAACAGACGGCAAAGAAUCACUUUAGUCAAUUGAAACACCAAGCCCAGUGCUAGUUUCAGUUGAACAUUCUCACAGCAGGGCUUGCGAGAUAAAGUCCUAAACCCUCACAUUGUACGUCUUCUUGGGCUGUUGAAUGCGCCUGUGUUCUUAGGGCCGUUUCCUCAUCGGUCUCUUUAUAGGACUGCAAUGGUCACCUCUGAGGCCUGUUUCUGUGACCAGCUUUCCACCCCUUGCUCUCUCUCCAGGGUCUGGAAUGAUGCUGUUGCCGAAUCCUCAGUCGUUUCUCCCCCUUUGCGAUGGAGUGGGACUGAGUCAGAAGUGAAGUACUGAAGGCACAAUUACAAGGAGGAAAAAAAUGAAGAGAAAACUAAAUAGAUGCCUCACCCUCACUCAUCGCCCGGACUUGCAGCGCUGUAUUACCCGCCCUGCCCUUGCAACUGUUCCUGCGCUAGCCCUUGCCCGUCCUCUUCGAUCUGAACAUGCCCACUGUUCUCGGCUACUGGUUGAUGGUGGUUGUUGUUCUUAUGUUGUUACAAUACUUGUUUUUUGGUUUUAUUGUUUUAAUGAUUGAAAUGCAAUUGUAUAUUAAUUGUGCUAUAUUUUAUUCUGUUUUUGCUGGGCAUAGUCCCCACGUAAGUCAUCCCGAGUCCCUUCGGGGAGAUGGUGGCGGGAUAUAAGAACAAACUUAUUAUUAUCUAUACACAUGAUAAAAGUGAAAAUCUG